rnacentral:lncRNA from 1 species
UGGAAUAAAAAGAAGAUUUCAUUCAUUUAUUGGAAAUUUAUGGUAAAGUGCAUAUUGCUUGAGAUGCAAAUCAAAAGAAUGAAUUACAAGGAAAAAAGGGUUUAAAAAAAUAUAUCUUUUUAGUACAAUUGACUUUUCGGUCAAACCGUUGACUUUUUGUUAACUGUUGACCAUUGACUCGAUUUUGACUCCUGGAUUUCUUAGACCUAUUUUACAAGAAUUUGAUCAAAGGAUUCAUCAUUUUUCAUCAAAAAUGACUUAUGUCAUGAUUAUGUUACAAAUGCUAAUUUUCAACAAAUUAUAUCUUCCAUCAAGCUUCACUUCCAUGGCUUGUUCUUCACUUUCCAAUGUUGCUUCAAGUUCAUUCUUUCACUUCAAUGCUCACUUUGCUACAAAUAAAAUUUGGAUCAAGUUAGUCUCCAUGAAUCAUAAGCGAAAGUCAUCAAAAAGAAAUAAAAAAGUCAUGAAGAACUCAAGAAAACUUAGAAAAAUUAUGCACUAUGUAGGAAUUUCAAGACUUGUCUUUCAACACUUUCCAACCUUGAUUCAUACAAAAAAAAUAAUCAUAAUUAGAUCCAUAAAUUUACACCAUUCAAAAGUGCACUUUUUCAACACAAAAUCACUUCUCAAAAGCACUUAAAGUCAUGGGAUAAUUCACCAAAAAUUUAUGGCAAAAGUGACAAAAAAUCAAAGGCAAAAUCAUUCAAAAAUUCUAAGUUUCAUGCAUAAUCACUAAUGACCUUUUGCCUUACAUUCCAACUUUGUACUUUUGCAAAAACCAAACAUCAUUUGUCUCUAACUAUCUAUGCAUUCACAAAACCCUCAAUUACACAAUUAACCAUUAACUACCAUAACUACCAAACUAACAUAAAUUCUACCACACUAACACAAAAUCCAAUUUCCAUUUUCAAUCAAAUUUUCAUUCAAUCUUAAUCAUUCAUAAUAAUUAAUCCAAUGAUUGAGAUUAGUUUUCCACAACUAAAACUUAAAUAAAUUCCCAAUCAUUGAUAAAUCUCUUACUUGGAUCAUAACCCAAGUGUCCUCAUUCAACCACAAAAAUUAUAAAAACCUAUUAUUUUUCAUCACUCUAAAACCAUGAAUUCAUAGUAAUUAUUAUGUCAAAAUUCUUCACCAUCACCUAAAGCUCAUAAACCAAGUUGAUGGAGUUUCAUCACUUAAAACUCCAUUCAAUUGAGCAUAAACUCUCCAUCAUUUUCCAUCACUUUUACCAUUAUUCAUCUUCUUCCUCAUGCUUCCAUAAUCACUAUUUUACAAAAACCACAAAAUCUCAUUUCACCAAUUUUCAUUUUCCAACCUACACCAUAAUCAAACUUCAAGUCAAAACCUUCAACCAUGAACCAAUCUUCGUCUUCUCCAUAAUCACAAAAAUCACAAAUUCACCAAGCUUCAAGCAUAGUCAUCUUCAUCUCCAUCAUCACCUUCAAAAAUUCAAAACCACAACAACAACAUUCAAAAUUCAGCAUCAUCAAAUCACAAAGCCAGAAGAAAAAAAGGGAAGAAAAAGAUUGGUAUAAGCAUUUAAUUGAACACGUGGUGAGCAAGUUACGAAACGAUGAUAACCACAAUGCUACAACCAAUUCACAAACUGCAAUUUGAACAACAAAUCAUAGAAAUUCAUCAUCAUCAAAUCAUAAAGCAAGAAGAAAAAAAGAAGAAAAGAGUCGGUUGAGACAUUUUGUCGAGCACCUUGCGAGCAAGAACAGAACUUCGCAUUUCCUCCAUUUUUACCGGUAAUCUUUCAUACAAUUCUAUUAUUUUAUGAGAUAUUC